GUGGGCAUAGUUUAAGCAAAACGUCAGAUCGUGAACCUGAAAAUAGAAGCUCACCCC
rnacentral:tRNA from 1 species